GAGUAUCGAGUCGUGACAUUUCAUGCAUUUAAACCUUCCUAGUGAACUUAGGUAGGAGCAUGAGACCACAUGGCUCAUUUCACCAAACAAAGAAACCCAUCUUACUUAAAACUUCCAAAUGCUCUUGAGCAUAAGCAUUAAAGGUUUUGAUUCAUUGUGUCAUUACCUAAAAUGUCUAUAGAUGCACGGUAACCCUAUCACCUCUCAAUUGCUUAGCUUUUAAGUGUUGCCACCUUAUCUUCAUUUCUUUCUUCAUUGAUUAUUUGCACUAUAUCCUUGAGAGUCUCCAUCUCAUUACCUAAAGCAUUCAUCAAUGCCCUUGAGUAUGAGGUAAAGGGUUUUCGUUGAUGUUUGGCUCAACUUUCUUUGAAAAGUUAAACAGUCUAGCCUUGACCAAACCUUGCCCCUUACGUUUUAGGGUUGUGCAAUUUUCUAUUAAAUGUCCUUGAAUCCCAUAAUGUUAGUCACAAUGAGCAUUAACAUCAUACCAUUUUAGGUAAGGAGGCUUUAAUGGGUUCGAGUGGACUAGUGCUAAAAGGUGACUUUCAAUAAACUAGGGAAGUAAAUUGGUAUAAGAUAUGGGAAUGGAGUCGAAUUGGAUUUUCUCUUGGUUGUUCCUGAGUUCCCCAUGAUUGUUUCUAAUAUUAUUUGGUCUAGCAUUAAAUUGGGUUGGUGGUGAAGGUGUUAGUUUUGGUACUCAUUGAUAAAGAUAAAGGUUUUGGGAGAUAUGAUUUAAAGUGGGGUAAUAAGGUUGGUAAGUGGGAUAGGGUUGAUAAAGAGUGUACCCUCUUGCUUGAUGCCCCUCAUAUGUGAUUACUUGUUCCUUGCCUUCUUUAUUCUUUGGUUUGUUUCCUUUCCUAGGAACUUUAAUCUUUCCAAUCUUAAUUGUACUUUCAAUUAUUUCACCUGACAAAACCAUGUCUGUGAAGUUCUUGGUGGCAUUUUCGAUCAAUCUUUCAUAGUAUAGGGCCUUUAGAGUGUUAACAAACAUUAUUGUUAUUUCCUUCUUGGUCAAAGGUGGUUGGACUUGAAAAGCAAUAUCUCUCUAUUUCCUAGCAUAAUCUUUAAAGCCUUUAGUAGCUUUCUUUUCCAUGCUUUGCAGGUUAAACGGUUUGGGGCCAUGAUUGUCACAUGUUUGUACUGAGCUAUGAAUGCUUGUGCUAAGUCAUUCCAUGAAUGCACAUGGCUUCUAUAUAGCUUAUUAUACCAUCUACUAGCUAAUCUUGUAAAAUAGUCUUGGAAAUAAUGGAUUAACAACUUAUCAUCAUGAGUGUAAGCAGUUAUUUUACAACAAUACAUGGUGACAUGUGCCAUUGGACUUUAGUCCCAUCAUACUUCUCAAAAUUUGAAACCUUGAACUUGGGAGGAAUCACUAGUUUAGGUAAAAGACUUAAUUCUAAUGAUUGAUGGAACCCAAGGCAUUUAUCCCUUUCAUAGCAUGCAAUUGUUCCUCACUUUUUAUGUGCUCCCAGAUUAUCGACGGCCUCGAACAUACCUUUACUCAACUUUCCUUGUUCUUUUGGAUCAUCCAAAUUUGGGACUGUAAUAGGUUUAAUAGGGUUUACUCUAAUGAUGGUUCCCGACAUUGAUGAUUGUCUGCCAUAAUAAAAAUGUCCUCCUAUAGGUGGUAUGGGGUAUUAGUGUUAUUUUUUAGAUACUAGGGGCUAGUACAUGGAAUCAUUUUUGCUUGGCAUCUGUUGGCUAGCUUGGUUGGUAGGUUUUUCACUCAUUAUUUUCCUUUUGUUAAUGUUCACAAUCAAUUCCAUCAUUUUAACUAAUUGCUCUUUUAUCUUUUCUUAAGCUUUCUCCAUCUAAUCCAUUCGCACAGCUUGUUCGUUUUCCAUUAUCUUGGUUUGUAGCCAAGUAUUGUAUGGGCGACGAGCAAGUGAUUUUGACGGUUGAGCUAUAUUGAGGACCUUUUUUAUAAUAAAUAUGAAUUAUGAUGCUUCUCAUGUAAUUGUGAAAAUGUAUGUUCAUAUGAAAAAAAAUCUUGGUUAUGUAAAUGCAUGUUCUAAAUAUAUUUGGAUAUUUGCCACACAACGAUAAAUAAUGAAGGGAGAC
rnacentral:lncRNA from 1 species